rnacentral:rRNA from 1 species
GCAAGUCGAGGGGCGAGCGGGAUGUAGCAAUACAUUGCCGGCGACCGGCGGAUGGGUGCGUAACGCGUAUGCAACCUACCUUAUACAGGGAAUAACCUUUCGAAAGGGAGACUAACACCCCAUAGUAUUGAUUAAGGCAUCUUAGAUUAAUUAAAUAUUUAUAGGUAUAAGAUGGGCAUGCGUAUGAUUAGCUAGUUGGUAAGGUAACGGCUUACCAAGGCGACGAUCAUUAGGGGUUCUGAGAGGAAGGUCCCCCACACUGGUACUGAGACACGGACCAGACUCCUACGGGAGGCAGCAGUGAGGAAUAUUGGUCAAUGGGCGCAAGCCUGAACCAGCCAUGCCGCGUGCAGGGAAAGACGGCCUUAUGGGUUGUAAACUGCUUUUACAUAAGACUAACCGUAUAUUUGCGAAUAUACCUGAAUGUAUUAUGAGAAUAAGGAUCGGCUAACUCCGUGCCAGCAGCGGC